rnacentral:lncRNA from 1 species
AAUCUAAUUGCCUAAAUUUUUUUUUUCUAAACUAACCAUAAAACAAAAUUUAAACUUUAUAUACAUAUUUCAAAUCAAAAUAAUAAUUCAAAUUUGAUUUAUAUCAAAUAUUGAUUCAAAAAUAUACAUAUAUUCAAAAAUGGAUUUUUACUAAACUAUUUUUCAAAAACCAUUAUAAAAAAAUAUUGUGAAUAUAUAUAAGAAAAAUAUAACACAAAGCCCAAUUUGAAAUACCAACUCAAAUUAUGGUUUUUAUAUUUCAUAUUAAGUUUUAAAAAUAUAAUAUAUGUAAUUAUUUAUAUGAUAGUAUGUAUAAAAUACUAUUAAUUAUAUGAUUACUUAU